AAAUUGAAGAGUUUGAUCAUGGCUCAGAUUGAACGCUGGCGGCAGGCCUAACACAUGCAAGUCGAACGGUAACAGGAAGCAGCUUGCUGCUUUGCUGACGAGUGGCGGACGGGUGAGUAAUGUCUGGGAAACUGCCCGAUGGAGGGGGAUAACUACUGGAAACGGUAGCUAAUACCGCAUAACGUCGCAAGACCAAAGAGGGGGACCUUCGGGCCUCUUGCCAUCGGAUGUGCCCAGAUGGGAUU
rnacentral:rRNA from 1 species